rnacentral:rRNA from 12 species
GGUCCGGGACCCUGUGUGGUGGGUAGUUUGACUGGGGCGGUCGCCUCCCAAAGAGUAACGGAGGCGCGCGAUGGUAGGCUCAAGCUGGUCGGAAAUCAGCUGUUGAGUGCAAUGGCAUAAGCCUGCCUGACUGCGAGACUGACAGGUCGAGCAGAGUCGAAAGACGGUCAUAGUGAUCCGGUGGUCCCGCGUGGGUGGGCCAUCGCUCAACGGAUAAAAGGUACGCCGGGGAUAACAGGCUGAUG